UUGAACGCUGGCGGCAUGCCUUACACAUGCAAGUCGAACGGUAACGGGCCUUCGGGUGCCGACGAGUGGCGAACGGGUGAGUAAUACAUCGGAACGUGCCCGAUCGCGGGGGAUAACGAGGCGAAAGCUUUGCUAAUACCGCAUACGAUCUACGGAUGAAAGCAGGGGACCGCAAGGCCUUGCGCGGACGGAGCGGCCGAUGGCAGAUUAGGUAGUUGGUGGGAUAAAAGCUUACCAAGCCGACGAUCUGUAGCUGGUCUGAGAGGAUGAUCAGCCACACUGGGACUGAGACACGGCCCAGACUCCUACGGGAGGCAGCAGUGGGGAAUUUUGGACAAUGGGCGCAAGCCUGAUCCAGCCAUGCCGCGUGCAGGUUGAAGGCCUUCGGGUUGUAAACUGCUUUUGUACGGAACGAAAAGCCUUCUUUUAAUACAGGAGGGUCAUGACGGUACCGUAAGAAUAAGCACCGGCUAACUACGUG
rnacentral:rRNA from 1 species